rnacentral:rRNA from 1 species
GGACUACUGGGGUUUCUAAUCCCGUUCGCUCCCCACGCUUUCGCGUCUCAGCGUCAGGGGCGGACCAGGGAGCCGCCUUCGCCACGGGUGUUCCUCCUGAUCUCUACGCAUUUCACCGCUACACCAGGAAUUCCACUCCCCUCUGCCGUCCUCAAGCCUUCCAGUUUCGGGCGGCAUCCCGGGGUUGAGCCCCGGGCUUUCACACCCGACUUAAAAAGCCGCCUACACGCGCUUUACGCCCAGUAAAUCCGGACAACGCUCGCCCCCUACGUAUUACCGCGGCUGCUGGCAC